CCUACGGGAGGCAGCAGUGAGGAAUAUUGGUCAAUGGACGAGAGUCUGAACCAGCCAAGUAGCGUGAAGGAUGACUGCCCUAUGGGUUGUAAACUUCUUUUAUAAGGGAAUAAAACGAGGCACGUGUGCCUUUUUGCAUGUACUUUAUGAAUAAGGAUCGGCUAACUCCGUGCCAGCAGCCGCGGUAAUACGGAGGAUCCGAGCGUUAUCCGGAUUUAUUGGGUUUAAAGGGAGCGUAGGUGGGUUGUUAAGUCAGUUGUUAAAGUUUGGGGCUCAACCGUAAAAUUGCAAUUGAUACUGGCAGUCUUGAGUACAGUUGAGGUAGGCGGAAUUCGUGGUGUAGCGGUGAAAUGCUUAGAUAUCACGAAGAACCCCGAUUGCGAAGGCAGCUUACUAAACUGUGACUGACAUUGAUGCUCGAAAGUGUGGGUAUCAAACAGGAUUAGAUACCCCUGUAGUC
rnacentral:rRNA from 1 species